rnacentral:rRNA from 1 species
UACAGAGGGUGCAAGCGUUAAUCGGAAUUACUGGGCGUAAAGCGCACGUAGGUGGCGACGUAAGUCGGGUGUGAAAGCCCCGGGCUCAACCUGGGAAUUGCAUUCGAGACUGCAUUGCUGGAGUACGGAAGAGGAAGGCGGAAUUCCCGGUGUAGCGGUGAAAUGCGUAGAGAUGUGGAGGAAUACCGAUGGCGAAGGCAGCCCCCUGGGAUGAUACUGACGCUCAUGCACGAAAGCGUGGGGAGCAAACAGG